AGUGAACGCUGGCGGCGUGCUUAACACAUGCAAGUCGAACGAGAACGGAUUAUAGCUUGCUAUAAUUGUCAGCUAAGUGGCGCACGGGUGAGUAAUGUAUAGGUAAUAUGCCUCUUACUAAGGGAUAACAAAUGGAAACGUUUGCUAAUACCUUAUACUCCUUAUUAACAGAAGUUAAUAAGGGAAAGAUUUAUUGGUAAGAGAUUAGCCUGUAUUGUAUCAGUUAGUUGGUGAGGUAAUGGCUUACCAAGACUAUGACACAUAACUGGUUUGAGAGGAUGAUCAGUCACACUGGAACUGAGACACGGUCCAGACUCCUACGGGAGGCAGCAGUGGGGAAUAUUGCACAAUGGACGAAAGUCUGAUGCAGCAACGCCGCGUGGAGGACGACACAUUUCGGUGCGUAAACUCCUUUUAUAUGAGAAGAUAAUGACGGUAUUAUAUGAAUAAGCACCGGCUAACUCCGUGCCAGCCGCCGCAGUAA
rnacentral:rRNA from 1 species